AGAGAUGUCCUUUCCUGAUUAAAUAGGAAGCUAUUUUAAGGGACCUCAGGGGGAGAACUGAGAGCUCCCAUAAAAAUCAAAGGAGAUGUACCUAUCCCACCCCUCCCAAAAAUACCACCCCAAAGUAGUAGCAAAGAGAGGAGUACAUACUCUUUCUAGUUCAUUUCUUCCUUAGUGUGAAACUUAAACACACACGCAUACACCUGCCAAUGUGAAUUCCAAAGCAAAUGCAAUUCUUUAUCAAUAUUACAGAUUUUAAGGAGCUGGGACUGGGACAGAGCGGCUUGUCCUACUCAGAGUAGACUUACUGCAGUUAAUUGGGAAUUAGUUUCAAUGAGUCUACUCUGAGUUGGACUUAAUUGAAUGCAAUCCGAUGGUCCAGAUUCAACUAGUUGUGCUAGUAAGAGUCUUACUAGGUUCCCCCCCUCUCUCAUGUGCCCCUGUGCCCUGAUUGGCUCUGGGAGGUUGGGAGAACCCCCCAGAAGGGGGGGGGAGGUCAUUCUGUCUGGCAAGCAGAAAUACAUGUGCCGACGGAGAGAUCGCCUUACCACUAUUUUGAAUUCUACCCGACAUCGGUAACUUGCUCCUCACUGAGUCAAUGCAAUGUAGUAGAAUGUCAACUAUAUUCCAUCUCCUAAAUAGUGUUCCAUCUACUAAGAGGCACUCUUAAUAGCACCAUAUGCCUCUGAACUUCAUUUUAUCUCCAGUAUGACCAGGGCAUUUUGAAAUGAUGCAUUCCUUAUGUAUGUCACAUACUGUAUAUAUAAUAGACCGCUGAAGAAGACCUGUGACCAAAAUUAUAUUUGUUUAGUUAUAGUUGGGCUGAUCUGUUUUUAUUUUUCUAAUGAGUAUUUAAAGGCUAUGUCAGUUUUAAUUUUUCAUAUCUGUAUGAUAUAAAAUUAUUUUAUAUAGCUAGCUUAUUCUCUUUUGUGGGAUUUGUUCUGAUCCCAAUUUGUAUGCAGUCAUUUUUAUGCUGUUCAUUGCCAUAAUACUUUUUAAAAAAUAAGUUGAUAGCAUAGAUAUUGUUUGCAAAUAAAUAAAUCCCAAGCAAUGUUGCAUACCACAUCUUUGCUGAAAGAGGAAACUGCAGUUCUUGUUUUAAACAUCACCUCUGCAAAGGAGGUAAAACCAGAGUGGCACAAUGAUGUACACCACAAGUCUUGGGAAUAGCAAUGAAACACUGAUUUAUUCACUGUAGAAGAGGGCAAUAAGAAUAAAAUAAGGGAAACGAAUGGAAAUGCAGGGAUUGCAAGGAAAGCAGGGUAGAGACAUGUAUACAUUUCUGAAUGUUCUUUCAUGGGCUGGUACACAUGAGGAUGUUCUGCUACAAUCAAAUUGGAAUCAUUCAAGACCGCUUCUGGGCUCACAGCCUAGCUAGGCCUCUGCAGUCAUAGAGUCAUAGAAGCUAAUCCAACUCCCUGCAAUGCAGGAAACUUUUUGCUCAACAUGGGGCUCAAACCCACAACCCUGAGAUUAAGAGUCUCAUCUUCUACUAACUGAGCUAUCCCAGGAUAAUGGUACUGCUUUAUAAAACAAAGCACCCACAAUGGAGGCUGGGGGUAUAUAAGGGUUUCUUCCAAUGUCAAUGACAGCAGUAGCCCCUACACCACUGAUGUGGAGGUGCCAAUUCAAACAAAUGAUGCCUUUGAGAGACCUGGCCCUGUUAUGAUCCUUGCUGCAUAAAAGGUAUUCUUCGGGGGUGGCAUACGGUCCCCAAACCCUCUUUUUGGUUCAAAGUCCCUAGUGUCUCACAAGCAACUGAAAACAAAGCACCACUAAUACAAGUACAAGUUUGAGUGAUAACCUGGUUGUGAUGGAUUAUAUAAUCCAAACAUUUUCACUGCUUCUCAGAAAUUGGGUGGGAGGAAGUGAAUGCACACUGAGAUGUCCCACAGGAGUGCCCUCCAAAUUUGCUGGGAUCACAAGUCAUAGAAAUUACACCAUUUGUCUCUGAUUACACAUAAGAUACUUAGGCAAGUGGCAGAGGCUAGAAUCACAAAGACAUUUUUGAAAAAUAAUUUUUACAAAGCCUACUGCUACUGCUAAUAAUAAUAAUUUAUUAUUUCUACCUCGCCCAUCUGGCUGGGUUUCCCCAGCCACUCUAAUAAGAGAUAUAGCAUUAAAAUGUGAACCCUUUAUGAAAUACAGUGUAGUCAUUUUUUCAAAUUUCAUAUCCUGCAAGUACAUUUGUUUAGCAUUUAUACUGUCUGCCAUAGUUGCAUACUAGCAGUAACGACAAUGUUUUCGAUGCAUUGGGAUCCUUUAGGGCAGGGGUUUCCAAAAUGCGGUCCAUGGACCACCAGUGAUCCACUAGCUUCAUUCAGGCGGUCUGUGGCAUGGCCGCAUAAAAUAUCAGUAUUGAUUUUUAAUUGUUGUUGCUUUUUGCUUCUUUUAUUUCUUAUAUUGUAUUUUAUUACAGUUUGAAUUCUAUGGAAUGGAAAUGCUAAUAUAAUAAAAUACAAUAUGAGAAAUAAAAGAAGCAAAAAAAAAUAAUAAUACACAGAAUCUAACACAGUGUAUAUUACAAUUGCUACAAGAGACAGCAAAAUCAUUAAGUGGUCCACCAAGACCAUUUUUGAGUGAUUCUGGUGAAGGGAGGCUGGGAACCACUGCUUUAUGGAACAGAGAGAUAAAAAAGAUUUUGUUGUUGUUGUUCAGAUGUUAACCAAUUUAUAGGCUUUAUUGACAAACUCAUGAACACUCAGAGCACUCAGUAAAUUAGCUCAAUAGGAUUUUAAUUAGAGCUAAGUAUUCAGUAAUUCUGAAUGUCUUAGCCCAAAAUAGAAGAAAAAAUAGUGUGUGCAUGUCAGAUUAGAUCUCACACACAUAUGCAUGGACAAUAGAUUUGAGUUUAGUGACUGCUUUGUUGACAUAAAAAGCUGGGGAAAGUUUUCCAUCUGCAGUAUAUGAGAUCUUAUUCCAUUCCUUUCACAAUGCUUUUGAUAAUGGACAGUUCUCAAGCUCCACUUAAGAGUGCUGUAAAACAAAACUGCCAUUGCAUUUCUAAAUCAAAAUGAUCUCUGGCGCUCUCAAAAGUUCAUAGGUGACAAGAAAAAUGAUGACCUUUCCUUGUAUUUCUGUGGUCUGUCAUCUUUUCCUCCACAAAUCUCAUUGAGCAGGGAUGGGGAAACCCCUCCAGAUGUUGCAAUACAACUCAUACCAGUAGAUGACUUCCAAUAUAGUUCUGAAAAUAUUUAGGGCAAAUCUGCUUUGUACCUAGACACAGUUACAUGUCAGGUAUGAAGAGUGCAUGCAGGUUUCAAACAUGCCUUUUACCUUUUUUUAUAUAUAUUUUAUAUCAGAGUGCAAAUAAUGUGCUUUCAAGUAGUGAAAUACUGCACAAUGCCACAAAAGAACCAGAGAGCUUCAUAGGAGACACCAGGACUUCCGUGAGCAGGUAUAACAUGGUGAUAGGGAUUACUCUUACCUGCAUGAAAUUGCAGCUGCUGAACAAGCAGACACGUUUUCUGAACCUGUGAGCUCACUUCUCCUGCCGCCCAAAAAACAUUUUUUUAUAGUUUCAACCACACAGGUGCCAGCAUGCAUGCUGAUGCACCCUCACCUCAAUAGUCUUCUUGUUUCAUAGUUAGGUGGGAAUUUAAAUCACAGGUUGAAUUUGUAAUGUUGAAAUGGGUCAGUCUAGAAGAACUUUCCUACUGAUCAUCGAGAAUUUUUAGUUCUCAAGGAAGACAGAGCAUGUCCAUUUGCUCCUAGUCCCUCAUAACUCUAUAGACAGAGAAUUCCUUUCACAUUAUAUCAUUUUUGAUCAUGCAGCCAUCCCUUCAAAGAAUCUGCAUUACCUCUCCCCAGUUUCUCUCAUCUUCCACCAUAUGAUCCAACCCCCUGAGCAACAGUUAGCCGGCUGGCAAUGAGGAUUAAAAUGCCUAGUCCAGAGAAGAGAGACAAGUGUGUGAUUGGAUCCAAUCAUCAUACAAUUUAGCAACCAAUGUAUCUUGUAAGAAAUGGAUAAAAGAUUUUGCCUCUAUUCCCAUGUACCAGUUGCAGGAACUAAACUUGAUUUUCAGUUCAACAGAGUAAAUGGACUUUACAAAUAAAAAUACAUUGACUCAGAACAGGGCACGUUUUUGUGUACCUAUGAUUAGGCCACCUAUUUGAUGACUAAAAUAUCAGAUUAGCCAGUCCCUGGGCACCACCAUCUCUUGAAUUCUAAAAUUUAAAGGAGCUGGGCUUUAAGUCUGCCUGGACAUCACAGGCUGAAAAAACAGCUUUGGCUUGGGGGUACAGCACAUGCAUAACAUCCCAAAGGUCCCAGGGUCAAUCUCUGAUAUCUCCAGGUAGGACUGUGAAAGACUGCUGUCUGAAACCUUGGAGAGUUUGCUGUCUCAACAACAGAGAGCCACAAAACCAUUCCUGGAUGGAGUGGGGAGCUAGGAACAAAAAGACCCCUAAACGAACAAAAUAAGAUAAGUUGGUAUGGCCAACUCUUCUGAGUUGGGGAUUUCUGAGCUACGGGUGCGGGUGAUGUUGUUCAAGCUUUUGCUUUUCUCUGAGGGCUGGUGGGUGGGAGAAUAGUUUUGCUUUUUGUUGCCGUGUUGUGAUCAUUGUUGUUAUUUUUGUUUUGUUUUUAAUAGAUACAUCCUGUAUGGAAUGUUAAUUUGUAUAUGCAUCCUCCCCUAUUUUAUAAUGUAUGUUAUUUAGCAUAAGUUGUUUGGAGACCUGUUUGGUGAUGAGGGACUAACAAGUUAAAUAAAUAAAUAUAAUUACCAUACACAUAUUUGUUACGUAAAUAGCAGGCAGAAGGUAGCUUUGGGGCCAUGGAGGCAAAGGGGAGAGGGGACAUUUAACUCUUUCUCUCCCUGCCACAGUUACUACUAAAAGCUGCUAUUCACAUUCCAGUGGAAUUCUUCAUUGGCGCCUGUGAGACUUCUCUUGAAAUUCAAAUAGCAGCUUUGGCAAGACAGUUUUUGGCAGGACCCUGGCAGAGAGAGGAAGAAAUAAGCAUCCUCUCUCUGAGUUAUGGUUACGCUGCUGCUCGGGUUUUCAGCCAUGCUUAGAAUGCAAAACAUUUCUUACUGAAAGAAGCAUAUCAGUACAAUACCAAUUUAGUAAUCAGGCACUCAGAUCUUAACCAAAUUUACUAAAAUAGUUAUAAAGUUAUGUUAAUCUUAUCCAGAUUUAAAAAUCCCAUCCUUUAUGGAUUAGAGUCUGCAAAUUUUCUUUCAACUUUACUUGUAUUACACGAAAGUUAAUCCAUUACCUCCAGAUUUUAAAAGAAGAAGAGAAGACUUGUGAAGAUGAUAUGUGUGCUAAGCAGCCAUUCAAAUAUUCCCAGGCAAUACAUAAUAUUGCACAGCACCUCAUCAAACUUAAUUAUAUUGUAACUAAUAAAUCAUCAGCCCUUAAUCUCUUCAGGAGAAGAAAAUACACGUUUGCCCAUCUCUUUUGUCAAAGGAAAGAGAACAAACAGGCCUGGGAGUGAGUGAAAAAGAUAAAUAUGUGAAUGAAGAAGAAAUGGGGUAUGGAACAAUCGAUAAAAUAGGAAGGAAGGAAACAAAGAGGGAGAGGCAGAGAGGCAGAGAGGCACUGGGAUUGUUUUAAUGGCUGGAUAAGUAAUAGAAGAGAAAGAAGCCCAGAUAGAAAUGUAAGAGAGGAAGAAGAGAUUCUGAGAUAAGCAGGAUAUUAAGGUGACAGUGAAGGAUGAAAGGGAAGACUGGAUAAGGAACUUGCAGUCAAAGGGGCGUCCCACACACAUCACUUCUACGCGGAGGCUGGUGCUCUGGAGGAAGCCAGAAUAAAAGCUGAACACAUCCAAUUAGUCUUAGUAAAAGCGGAAGAUUUCUCUGAGUGGGAGAAACAGGUAGAUGUAAUAGGUCUAUAAGUGCACAAGGUAUUAUAAGCAUAUUUUCAUAUAGACCAUUUAGAUACAAUUUAAGAGCUAUUUUACAGUGCUAAUGAGACUGCCUGCAAAAAUACCUAAUGGGCAGGUAGUAGGAAAUCGCCUUCUGCCAUCCCUAAAACAUUUUCCAAAACACACUUACCUUUGGUUCUAUGUAGACAAUACAGUUCAAUGUGCAUAUAUUAUAUACAGUGCUACCUUGGUUCUCAGACUUAAUCUGUUCCCAAAGUCUGUUCCAAAACCAAAGCUUUCCAAAAUCAAUCAUUCAGUAGCUGAACUGGCAUCCACACAGUCACAAAAACAAAUUAACUGAAAAAGCCUC
rnacentral:lncRNA from 1 species